UACGUAGGGGGCUAGCGUUGUCCGGAUUUAUUGGGCGUAAAGAGCGUGUAGGCGGCCAGGUAGGUCUGCUGUGAAAACUCGAGGCUCAACCUCGAGACGUCGGCGGAAACCAUCUGGCUAGAGUCCGGAAGAGGAGAGUGGAAUUCCUGGUGUAGCGGUGAAAUGCGCAGAUAUCAGGAAGAACACCCGUGGCGAAGGCGGCUCUCUGGGACGGUACUGACGCUGGAGACGCGGAAAGCGUGGGGGAGCGAACAGG
rnacentral:rRNA from 1 species